GUGAUGUUAGGUCGUGCAUGGGCAUUAAUAAGUAGGCGGCAAGCGUUGGUCGGAGUGACUUGGCGUAAAGGGUGUGUAGGCGGUUGUUUAAGUUUGGUGUGAAAUCUCCCGGCGCAACUGGGAGGGGGCGCCGAAUACUGGAUGACUAGAGUGCGGGAGAGGAGAGUGGAAUGCCUGGUGUAGCGGUGAAAUGCGUAGAUAUCAGGAGGAACACCGGUGGUGUAGACGGCUCUCUGGACCGUAACUGACGCUGAGACACGAAAGCGUGGGUAGCAAACAGGAUUAGAUACUCGAGUAGUC
rnacentral:rRNA from 1 species